rnacentral:lncRNA from 1 species
GUGGUCUUUUAGUUUUCAGUUAUGCUUAUGCUGUAUUUAGUUUAUCCCAUCUGCUUCCAAUUACUUUGACUGCAUAUGUUUUGUUUUUGUUUUUAUUUUGGUGUGGUUCUCUGUUUUUGAUAGGCCUGUCCUUUCAGAUGAAGAAGUGUUGAUUCCCCUGAAAUUAAAUAUUUUCCAAGAUAGAGCAGGAAAACUACAGAAUUAUUUCAAGCACGUUAAUAUGGAUCAAAUCUCAGGUGGAUUUGCUGAAGAAGAGAAGUGCUGAGGAUGCACUGUGCUGACCCACAUAUCAGUUCCCAACAGACUGUUCCAGCUGAAUACAAUAGGAACACUUUCUAAAACAGGAACACAUUCUAAAAGCCUCAGAGUGUCUCUGGAAGGAAGCAGAAAUUGUUGCAUUUAGUUCACACAUGUGUUUCAGAAUUGUAAAGGUAUUAAAGCAGACUUUAAGUGGAAAAUAUUUAAGUCUGUGUUUUGUUGUUGUUGUUGUUUGUUUGUGUUUUAACCUUUGAACACAUGAGAAUAGCAAUGUUCAUGACAUCAUUGAAAUAGAUGGCCUGUUUUAUUUAUUUAUUUAUUUUUGAAUGGUGUUAUAGCACUACACAAAUAAUGGGACUUCAAAAUAAGGUUUUGCCUUGAUGUGUAAUCUUACAGGGGACCUGUCUUUGGAAAAAAUCAGUUAAAUUAAGAAGAGACACGCUUCUGAACUGGAUUCUUCAAUUAAGUGCUUAAAAUCAUAAUCCAGGCCAAUUGGCCCAGUUGUUGCCUUAGUCAUAGUAGCUGCUAGUGUAAUUACUAUUCAAGAGAAUUUCUGAGAUGCUUUAAUCAUAUAAUCAUAUAGUAAUAGAAUAUCCCAAGUUGGAAGGGACCCACAAGGAUCACUGAGUCCAGCUCCUGGUUCCAUACAGGUCUACCCAAAAAUUCAGAAAAUAUGACUAAGAGUAUAGCCCAAACUAAAAAAUAGAAAAAUAAAAAUAAAUAAAAUAAAUAAAUAAGUACA